rnacentral:rRNA from 1 species
GACGAACGCUGGCGGCGUGCUUAACACAUGCAAGUCGAACGGAAAGGCCCUGCUUUUGUGGGGUGCUCGAGUGGCGAACGGGUGAGUAACACGUGAGUAACCUGCCCUUGACUUUGGGAUAACUUCAGGAAACUGGGGCUAAUACCGGAUAGGAGCUCCUGCUGCAUGGUGGGGGUUGGAAAGUUUCGGCGGUUGGGGAUGGACUCGCGGCUUAUCAGCUUGUUGGUGGGGUAGUGGCUUACCAAGGCUUUGACGGGUAGCCGGCCUGAGAGGGUGACCGGCCACAUGGGGACUGAGAUACGGCCCAGACUCCUACGGGAGGCAGCAGUGGGGAAUAUUGCACAAUGGGCGGAAGCCUGAUGCAGCAACGCCGCGUGCGGGAUGACGGCCUUCGGGUUGUAAACCGCUUUCGCCGGUGACGAAGCGUGAGUGACGGUAAUGGGUAAAGAAGCACCGGCUAACUACGUG